CAGGAUUGGAUUCUGGUCGCGUUCAUACAGGAAAAGAAUAACGUAAAAAAAGAUGUAUCUCUUACUGAGCCUCAUGACGUUAUUGCAAUACGUGAAGACAGCGAGAGUCGUUCAGACUCCCAGUAGCGUCUCCAGGACCCUCGGUAAGGCAGUGGAGUUGAGGUGCACGGUGAAGGGUGAGAGUAGCGGUAACAUGUUCUGGUACAGACAAUACCCGGGAAAGGAGCUGCAGCUGAUGUUUUAUUCUGCAGCUGCAGGAAAUGUGAAUGAAGAAGGAACAGCGGACGGUUUCACCGCCACACGACCGAGUGGCUCUGACUUUAAACUGGAGUCUCGCAACCUGCAGGCGCAUCACUCGGCUGUUUAUUACUGUGCCUGGAGUAUUCACAGUGACUCAGAGAGAUGGAGCAGCUCAACAAAAACCCCAAAGACAGCAGGAAGCAGCUGUCAACGACAUCGCUGAUACUUUCGUCCUGUUGAGGACAGCCCUCAGUCCCAGCUCUCAGUCCUCCCCAAUUAGAGCGACAA